UACGGGGGGUGCGAGCGUUGUCCGGAAUCACUGGGCGUAAAGGGCGCGUAGGUGGUUUGAUAAGGGUGUGGUGAAAGUCCGGGGCUCAACCCCGGAUCUGCCGUGCCGACUGUCAAACUCGAGGACUGUAGAGGCAGACGGAAUUCCGGGUAUAGCGGUGGAAUGCGUAGAGAUCCGGAGGAAGACCGGUGGCGAAGGCGGUUCUCUGGGCAUUACCUGACGCUGAGGAGCGAAAGUGUGGGGAGCGAACAGG
rnacentral:rRNA from 1 species